GACGAACGCUGGCGGCGUGCUUAACACAUGCAAGUCGAACGAGGUCCACUGCGUAGCAAUACAAGGGAAGACCUAGUGGCGAACGGGUGCGUAACACGUGAGGAACUUGUCCCGGUCUCUGGGAUAACAGUUGGAAACGACUGCUAAUACCGGAUGACGUCGGAAUCUCGCAUGGGAUACUGACGAAAGGGUUACUGGAUCGGGAGAGCCUCGCGGCCUAUCAGCUUGUUGGUGGGUAACGGCCCACCAAGGCAUCGACGGGUAGCUGGUCUGAGAGGAUGAUCAGCCACACUGGGACUGAGACACGGCCCAGACUCCUACGGGAGGCAGCAGUGGGGAAUCUUGCGCAAUGGGCGAAAGCCUGACGCAGCAACGCCGCGUGCGGGAAGAAGGCCCUCGGGUUGUAAACCGCUUUCAGCAGGAACGAAAAUGACGGUACUUGCAGAAGAAGGUGCGGCCAACUACGUGCCAGCAGCCGCGGUAAUAGUACUCU
rnacentral:rRNA from 1 species